UUGCUCAGUAGGGUGCCUAGCACCCAAGGGGUUAAGGGGAUUACUAUGUUUCAAAGAAUACGAAAAGGACACUUCAACACAACAGGAACAAUUCAACAAUAUCAAUCAAUCACAUAGUUUAAUAUAUAAUAUUAUACACAAUUUCACAAUAUUCAACAAUUACAUGAAUGCACAUGAACGUGUGACACACAGUCAUACAAUGCACUAUUGUUCUCGGGCUUUCACCGAAGGAUACGCGUCCGCACCCAAAUACACUCCCCAUUCGGAGUCUUCCCGAGGUAACUUUUGGGUCUUUCACCCUAGGGAUCUCUCUCCCUUCUUAAUUCGCCCCACACGGGCUUCCACUUCUCAUCUCUAUUUCAUUCAUUUAUUUUUUUUUUUCCACAUAACCAUGAUGCAAAUGAAUGCCACAAUUCCAAUGUUCCUCAAUAAUUCAACAAUCUCAACAUGCCCCAAUAAUCCAAUAAAAUAAUUUCACACAUUACAAUUUCCGAUAAUAUCCCAAAUAAAUAUUCAAAAAAAACAAUGCAUAUCAAAAUCUUGAGAUUUUACCACACUUACAAAAUUUUUCAACCAUUAUAAUAAUUUCUAAUGUCCAAAAUUAACUAACUAUUUACCCUAAAAUUUUCGAAAAUAUUCUAACCAAUGCCUAAAAAUUCACAAAUCAUUAUAUUUGCAAUUUAACCCAAAUUUUGGAAUUUUCCAACCCAUCUAAUAAUUUUUUAACAUUUCAAAACAAUUAAUUAUCAAUCAAAAUCAAUUUCUCGAAAUUCCAAAAAUUCCAAACAAAUCCCAAAUAUUCUAGAAAAAUUCAUACAACACUUAUAAUUCCUAAUUAACUCAAAAUGACAAUAUCUAUAAUUUUUUUUCAAGGGAAAAACAUAAAAAUUUAAGUUUUAGGGUUAGGGUCCCCUACCUCAGAUCUGAAAAUUUGGCCGUUAAAAACAAAAUCAGCCACCGUAGGCUUGUUCGUCUAGUCGAAUAGAGUACUUCCUCCAAAUUUGGGCUGAAACGGAGAUCGUUUGGCCGUCCAAACGGCCGAUCAAAAUUCCGGCGAGUGCCCUAAUUUAUGCACAGUAACCUUUCUCUCUCUCACCGUCCCCGCGUGCUGCAAUUCUCCCCCUUUUCCUUUUUUUUUUUUUUACUAACCCUCCAGCCACACAAGCCUGACCCAAACUUCAAAAGCCCAACCCAUUUUUUUUUUCUUUUUAUUAACAGCCCACUAGGCUUUUAAAAGCCACCAGCCACUUAAGCUAAGCCCAACUCAAAAUCUAAGCCCAAUCCAUUAUUAUUGUUAUUAUUUUUCUUUUACAACUGGCCAAUAUUCAAAACCCAAUGAAUAUAUUUUUUUUCUUUUAUUUUCUUUUCUUUAUUCUAAUUGUUUUAUUUGAUUUCCAAUUCUUUUUUUUUUUUUUCAUUUUAACACACAAUUUUAUUUAUUAACACCAAAUAAAAACUAAUUUUUCUCAAUAUUAUUAUUCAUCAAUUUAAUUUAAUUAAUUAAUUUAUUUUUCUUAAUUAAUUCUAAUUAAUCUGAAUUUAUUUAUUUUUCAUUUUCGUUUUCGUUUUUUCGUUUCCGGAAAUUUCCAAUUUCUAAAAUCCUAAGAAAUUUUCUAUCCUAAGGCUGACAUGGCAUAAAAUUUUCAACUCGUUUAAUUGACCGACACAAUAAAACGAACUUUACCAAUCCGAAAUUGACACGUGUUCUCCAAACACUUUUCUUUUUGACUUUUCAACCAUCACAUAAAAUAAGACUUUUCAAACUAAAAAUGCUAACGUGGCAUAAAAUACCCGGUCAUUACAUCCUACCCCCCUAAAAGAAAUUUCGUCCCGAAAUUUAAACUAGCUUACCUUAAAAUUCGUAGAAGAGUUGUGGAUAGUGUCGUCUUAUUUCUUCCUCAGGUUCCCAAGUGGCUUCUUCUAUCCCAUGGUGUUGCCACCACACUUUGACUGCAGGAAUCACCUUGUUCCUGAACCUAUGCUCUCCAACUUCCAGAAUUCGUAAAGGUUCCUCCACAUAAGAUGUAUCUUCACUAAUCUGAACAUCUUGCAUGUCCACUACCCAAGUUGGAUCUGGAGUACACUUCCUUAGCAUUGACACAUGGAAAACAUCAUGCACAAGGGACAACUGCUGAGGCAAAAUUAACUUGUAUGCCAUUGGGCCAACUCUCUUAUCAAUCUGAAAUGGUCCCACAAACCUAGGGGCUAACUUCCCCUUCUUCCCAAAUCGAAAUAUGCCUCUUCGAGGGGACACUUUUACAAACACCCAAUCCCCUUCCUCAAACUCCAAGGGCCUUCUCCUUUUGUCUGCAUAACUUUUCUGUCUAUCUUGGGCAGUCUUAAGUUUUUCCUUGAUGAGUUGUAUCUUCUCUGUAGUCUCUUGGACAAUCUCAGGUCCUAACAAAUGACUCUCACCCAUCUCUAUCCAACAUAAGGGCGAUCUACAAGGUCUCCCAUAGAGUGCUUCAUAAGGUGCCAUACCAAUACUAGAUUGGUAACUGUUGUUAUAAGCAAACUCUGCCAAAGGUAAGUAAUCUGCCCAAUUUCCUCCAAAAUCCAAAACACAAGCCCUUAACAUGUCUUCUAAGAUCUGGAUCACUCUCUCUGAUUGACCAUUUGUCUGAGGGUGAAAAGCGGUGCUAAAAUUCAGUUGGGUGCCCAAAGCCCUUUGUAAACUCUGCCAAAACUGAGAAGUAAACUUAAGGUCCCUAUCAGACACUAUAGAUACAGGUAUCCCAUGCAAUCUCACAAUCUCUUGUAUAUACAACUUAGCCAAAGAGUUCAUGGAAUCAGUAUUUUUCAUGGCUAGAAAAUGAGCUGACUUAGUAAGACGGUCCACAAUCACCCAAACUCCAUUUUUCUUGCUUCUAGUUCUUGGCAACCCUAUCACAAAGUCCAUAGUGAUAUUAUCCCACUUCCACUCAGGUAUAGGUAAAGGUUGCAACAACCCUGCAGGCCUCUGGUGUUCAGCCUUCACUUGCUGACAAAUCUGACAAUUAGCUACAAACUGAGCAAUAUCUCUCUUCAUCCCACUCCACCAAAACUACCUCUUUAAGUCUUGAUACAUCUUGGUAUUCCCAGGGUGGAUGAUAUACUUCGCCCUAUGAGCAUCUGCUAGAAGUUCAUUUCUCAACUCCACAUCUUUUGGCACACACAAUCUCCCUUUGAACCUCACACUCCCAUCUUCAUACAUAGACCAAUUUUCAUCUAUUUCACCUACUACCAACUGGGCUUUAACCUUUUCUAAAAACUCAUCAUGAACUUGGGCCUCCACUAUUCUAUGGAUAACCAUUGGUCUAGCUGAUAUGCUGUACAAGCAUGGACCGCGUCCUUUUUGACUAAGACAUAGCUCAAAGUCCUCAAUAACUGCAUGCAUCUCAAACUCUCUCAACCCCAAGCUAGACAACUGGCCAUAGCUCUUUCUACUCAAGGCAUCUGCUACAACAUUCGCCUUCCCAGGAUGGUAAUGAAGGGCAAAAUCAUAAUCUUCCAAUGUCUCCAUCCAUCUCCUCUGCCUAGAGUUCAGUUCCUUUUGAGUGAAAAUGUAUUUCAAACUCUUAUGAUCAUAGUACACCUCAAACUUCUCUCCAUACAAAUAGUGUCUCCAAGUCUUAAGGGCAAACACCACUGCUGCAAGCUCCAAAUCAUGUGCUGGAUAAUUCCGCUCAUGCUGCUUUAAUUGUCUUGAGGCAUAAGCUACCACCUUGCCUUGCUGCAUUAGCACACACCCUAACCCCACUGUGGAAGCAUCACAAUAAAUUGUAAACAACUCUCCACUAAUAGGAGCAGUUAACACUGGAGCAGUGGUCAAUUUCCGCUUCAACUCUUGGAAAGCAUUCUCACACUCCUCAUUCCAAUCAAACUUCACCCCUUUUCUAGUCAACCGAGUCAUUGGUGCUGCAAUUCUAGAGAAGUCUUCCACAAACCUCCUAUAAUAUCCAGCCAACCCCAAGAAACUUCUAACCUCAAAUACAUUGGUAGGCCUUUGCCACUCCUGUACAGCUUCCACCUUUGAAUGGUCUACUGCUAUUCCUGCCUCAGAAACCACAUGGCCUAAGAAGUUCACUUCAGUAAGCCAAAACUCACUUUUGUCCAACUUCCCAUACAACUGAUGUCUUCUCAAAGUUCUAAGGGUGGUCACCAAAUGUUGCUUAUGCUCCUCCAAACUCCUGGAGUAGAUCAAGAUGUCAUCCACAAAGACAAUCACAAACUGAUCCAAGUAAGCACGAAAUACCCUGUUCAUUAAAUCCAUGAAAGCAGCGGGGGCAUUAGUUAACCCAAAAGGCAUGACUAAGAACUCAUAAUGCCCAUAUCUCGUUCUAAAAGCAGUUUUAGAAACAUCUUCUUCCCUAACCCUCAGUUGAUGAUACCCAGUUCUCAAGUCAAUCUUACUAAAAUACUUUGCACCCUUCAACUGAUCAAACAAGUCAUCUAUCCUUGGAAGAGGAUACUUGUUCUUCACAGUAACUCUAUUCAACUUCCUAUAGUCAAUACAUAACCUUAGUGUGCCAUCCUUCUUCUUCACAAACAAAACUGGGGCUCCCCAUGGCGAUGUACUUGGACGAAUAAAACCCUUACCCAACAAUUCAUCUAACUGAGUUUUCAAUUCCUUCAACUCAAGAGGGGCCAUCCUAUAAGGGGAUACUGAAAUAGGAUCAGUUCCUGGGUAUACUUCAAUAGAGAAAUCAAACUCUCUAUGCGGUGGUAAACCUGGUAACUCAUCUGGGAAUACAUCCUAAAACUUCCUCACCACUGGAAUUUCUGUAAUGUCCUUCUGGGCUUUCUCCUUACCACGAAGGCAAGCUAGGAAAUUUAUUGAUCAUUUCCUCAACACAUACUGAUAGCACGGAUCGGACUGCGAAAAAGGCAAACUAACACACUUCCCUCCAACAAAACAAACCUCAAAUCCCUCUGGCAAACAAAAUAUUAUCCUGCGGCGAUGACAAUCAAUAACCGCUCUAUACACUGCCAACCAAUCCAUUCCCAAAAUAACACCAUACCCAAUCAUAUCCAAAAUCCUCAAAUCCACAUUUAGUGCUCUAUCUGCCAAGGUAAUAACACACCCCUUGCAUAUUCUAUCAACUCUAGAGUUCGUACCCAUAGGAGACUCAAUAAGUAACAAAUUCUCUACCCUUUCUGAUUUCAACCCCAAUGCAUUAGCACAAGAUACAGAAAUGAAAGAAUGAGUUGCACCAGUAUCAAACAAAACACGCACCCAAGUACUAUAUACCAAAAUCAUACCUUCCACUAAAAGGGCAUCCUCCUCUGGCUCUGUUGAGGUCAAGGCAAAAACUCUUCCUGCUGCCUGCCUUCCCCUACCUUUAGCAUUCGACCCUUGAGAAGAGCGGGUCUGACUCGUGGUAGUUGUCCUGGUUCCUUGCGCUGCUGGGGGUAAUUGUGGCAUCUGAUAGUAAGGCAACUGAAACUGAGGGGGCUGGAAAGACACUACUGACUGUUGCUGAGAACUUCCCUGAGACUGAGGUCGAGCCUGCUGUGUGCCUCGCAAUGGGCAAGCCCUCCAUAAAUGGUCUCCUGCUCCACAACCAUAACAUACUCUAUUAGCAGCCGCCCUCUGAGCAAUCUACCCCUCUCCUGCAUAGAACGAGGAACGCCUCUCAAACUACUGAGUCCUCUGCCUCUGCUGUGGCCCCUGGGAACUUUCCCCCAUUCUUUGUUUCCCUUUUCUGUCCCCCUUUUGCUCUCGAAUUUGGUUGGUUUCGUCAAUGUCCUGCUCCACCAACAAAGCCCUCUUAACCAACUCAGAAUAAUCCCUUAUUGCCAGUGAGACUAAUCUGUUCCUAAUAGCAGGCCUCAACCCCUGCUGGAACCUCCUAGUCUUUUCUCCUUCCUCACUGAUCAUCCUCAAAGCAAAACGAGACAACUCUGAGAAACGUGACUCAUACUCCAGCACUGACAUGGUUCCUUGGAUGAGGUGCUCAAACUCCAUCCUCUUGGCAUGCUUAGCCACUUCCCCAAAAUACUUGCCUAGGAAGAUUCUCUCAAAUUCCUCCCAAGUCAUAACCUCAGUGUCAUACACCCUUUUCAUUGAUUCCCACCAGAAAUCAGCUUUGUCCACAAGCAUAUAUGCUGCCAAACCUACCCUUCUUUCCUCAGGUAUGUCCAGUCCCACCAGAAUUCUUCUCAUCCUCCUCAACCAAUGCUCAGCUGCUUCAGCACUAGGCUCUCCAUUAAAAGAUGGAGGUUGCAUCACCAUGAACCUCUUCAUUGCUUCCAUUUGGCUCAUUACUGGCCUCUCAGUGCGGCUCCUCCUAUGUGAGUGACCUGAAUCCUCAUGGCCCUGGGUACCUCCUGCUCUCCUGGAACCCUGGCCUCUCAUCAAUUCAAUAGUUUCUCUCAACUCUCUUCUUACUUCUCGGAGUUCUUCUCUUACCGUCUCCAACUCCUUAUUCCUCUCUGAUCUUCCUCCUCUGGUCCUUCCCGCCAUUUCAAGUCUAACAAACCCUAAUUCAAUCACAUUACUAAGGUGAGCAAAAAUAAAUUUCACAUAUACACACUUAGCAACUUCAACAAUUAUCAAAACUUUCACUUUCAUACACUCACAAUACAUAAUUCAAUUAAUCAUCAACUUGUUGAUUAACACAUACAAAAAUCAUAACAUUAUAACAACACACAUAAACACCCACAAACAUUGACCCCAAGGUAUUAUCGCAACCUUGGCUCUGAUACCACGCUGUCACGACCCAAAUUUCGGGCGACCCAAAAUUUGACCCGUGACCCCAGGUCAAAGGUUUGACCCUAGACCCUAGGUCAAAGGUUUGACCCUAAGGGUUCCUCCUAUUCCAUGUUGGCAGUCAACCAAAACACUCUGGAUUUUUUUUUUUCAUACAUCUCACUAGAAUUCUCAUAAAUUACAAUAUCCCAAACCUACUCAAAACAACAAGAUUAAAUAAAUAUUCAUUAUAGUCCAAAAUAAAAGUUCACAAUUAACAACUUAAUCAAAUAAAGCUUCAUAGCAAAUCCAUGAGUCAUAAUUGCUAAAACAAAUCCCCAAAAUCCAAAAAGGAACACAAUAACAAAUAAAUGCCACGCUCCACUAGGCCGCUCCAGGAGCAUCCUGAAGUCCUCCCUGUCCCACCUGUGGAUCCUUAGGAGAGAUAUCUGCAUCUAAAAAGGUGUAACAAGGAAGGGGUGAGCAUUUCCACAUUGCUCAGUAGGGUGCCUAGCACCCAAGGGGUUAAGGGGAUUACUAUGUUUCAAAGAAUACGAAAAGGACACUUCAACACAACAGGAACAAUUCAACAAUAUCAAUCAAUCACAUAGUUUAAUAUAUAAUAUUAUACACAAUUUCACAAUAUUCAACAAUUACAUGAAUGCACAUGAACGUGUGACACACAGUCAUACACUGCACUAUUGUUCUCGGGCUUUCAUCGAAGGAUACGCGUCCGCACCCAAAUACACUCCCCAUUCGGAGUCUUCCCGAGGUAACUUUUGGGUCUUUCACCCUAGGGAUCUCUCUCCCUUCUUAAUUCACCCCACACGGGCUUCCACUUCUCAUCUCUAUUUCAUUCAUUUAUUUUUUUUUUUUCACAUAACCAUGAUGCAAAUGAAUGCCACAAUUCCAAUGUUCCUCAAUAAUUCAACAAUCUCAACAUGCCCCAAUAAUCCAAUAAA
rnacentral:lncRNA from 1 species